rnacentral:rRNA from 1 species
UACGUAGGGUGCAAGCGUUGUCCGGAAUUAUUGGGCGUAAAGAGCUCGUAGGCGGUCUGUCGCGUCUGCUGUGAAAAUCCAGGGCUCAACCCUGGACCUGCAGUGGGUACGGGCAGACUAGAGUGCGGUAGGGGAGAUCGGAAUUCCUGGUGUAGCGGUGAAAUGCGCAGAUAUCAGGAGGAACACCGGUGGCGAAGGCGGUUCUCUGGGCCUUACCUGACACUGAGGAGCGAAAGCGUGGGGAGCAAACAGG